rnacentral:rRNA from 1 species
UACGAAGGUCCCGAGCGUUGUUCGGAAUCACUGGGCGUAAAGGGCGCGUAGGCGGCCAACUAAGUCACACGUGAAAUCCCCAGGCUUAACCUGGGAACUGCGUGUGAUACUGGAUGGCUUGAAUUCGGGAGAGGGAUGCAGAAUUCCAGGUGUAGCGGUGAAAUGCGUAGAUAUCUGGAGGAACACCGGUGGCGAAGGCGGCAUCCUGGACCGGUAUUGACGCUGAGGCGCGAAAGCCAGGGGAGCAAACGGG